rnacentral:rRNA from 1 species
CCUACGGGAGGCAGCAGUGAGGAAUAUUGGUCAAUGGUCGUAAGACUGAACCAGCCAAGUAGCGUGCAGGAUGACGGCCCUCUGGGUUGUAAACUGCUUUUAUGCGGGGAUAAAAUGCGUCACGUGUGAUGUUUUGUAGGUACCGCAUGAAUAAGGACCGGCUAAUUCCGUGCCAGCAGCCGCGGUAAUACGGAAGGUCCGGGCGUUAUCCGGAUUUCUUGGGUUUAAAGGGAGCGUAGGCCGCAUGUUAAGCGUGACGUGAAAUGCCGUGGCUCAACCAGUGCACUGCGGCGCGAACUGGCAUGCUUGAGUGCAGUAGAGGCAGGCAGAAUUCGAGGUGGAGCGGUGACAUGCGUAGAGAUCGGGAGGAAUACCGGUGGCGAAGGCGGC